GUCAGAUGUUUCAUCAUUUGAAAUCCAACAUAGUGGAUUUGUGAAGCAGCUGUUGCUUUAUUUGACAUCUAAAAGUGAAAAGGAUGCUGUGAGCAGAGAGAUCAGAUUAAAGCGAUUUCUUCAUGUAUUUUUUUCUUCUCCACUUCCUGGAGAAGAGCCCAUUGGAAGAGUGGAACCAGUGGGUAAUGCACCUUUGUUGGCAUUAGUUCACAAGAUGAACAACUGCCUCAGCCAGAUGGAACAAUUUCCAGUCAAAGUACAUGAUUUCCCUAGUGGAAAUGGGACAGGAGGCAGGUAAGGACCAUUGCCUGGCUAUACCCUUGCCACUGGAAUUUGGUACUUAAUUUCACUGAAGUAAGAUGGCAAGAGGUCUGGUAAAGUCUUGAUUGGCCCAGAAAACAUUCAGCUGUAAUGAUGAAAGAAAUUAAGCACUCUAAAGAAUGAAUCAAAUGCUUUCUUAUCUUUAAAAUUAUACCAUAUGCCUUAAACAGGAUGCUUUAUAAAUAUAUAAUCCAGUGAUUGUAUUUGUAACUUGUAAUAGGCUUAGUUUUCCUUAAAUUGAUACACUUCAGCAUACAAAACUUCCUUAAGAACUUUAUGUUUAACUUCAGU
rnacentral:lncRNA from 1 species